rnacentral:tRNA from 1 species
GGAAAUAUUGAGCAAUUGGCUGGCUCGCCUGACUGUAAAUCAGGUCUUUUAUAAGCAUGUAGGUUCGAGUCCUACUAUUUCCA